GACGUAGGAUGCAAGCGUUGUCCGGAAUUAUUGGGCGUAAAGAGUUUGUAGGCGGCAUAACAAGUCUGGGGUUAAAUCCCGUGGCUCAACCACGGAUCGGCCUUGGAUACUGUUAAGCUAGAGUGCAGAAGAGGCAAGGGGAAUUCCCAGUGUAGCGGUGAAAUGCGUAGAUAUUGGGAGGAACACCAGUGGCGUAAGCGCCUUGCUGGGCUGUAACUGACGCUGAGAAACGAAAGCCAGGGGAGCAAAUGGG
rnacentral:rRNA from 1 species